rnacentral:rRNA from 1 species
GACGAACGCUGGCGGCGUGCUUAACACAUGCAAGUCGAACGGAAAGGCCCUGCUUUUGUGGGGUGCUCGAGUGGCGAACGGGUGAGUAAAACGUGAGUAACCUGCCCUUGACUUUGGGAUAACUUCAGGAAACUGGGGCUAAUACCGGAUAGGAGCUCCUGCUGCAUGGUGGGGGUUGGAAAGUUUCGGCGGUUGGGGCUGGACUCGCGGCUUAUCAGCUUGUUGGGGGGGUAGUGGCUUACCAAGGCUUUGAAGGGUAGCCGGCCUGGGAGGGUGACCGGCCACAUGGGGACUGAGAGACGGCCCAGUCUGCUACGGGAGGCAGCAGUGGGGAAUAUUGCACAAUGGGCGGAAGCCUGAUGCAGCAACCCCGCGUGCGGGAUGACGGCCUUCGGGUUGUAAACCGCUUUCGCCUGUGACGAAGCGUGAGUGACGGUAAUGGGUAAAGAAGCACCGGCUAACUACGUG